GGAAGAACAUUUGCUGGCCCAUUGCUAAUUCAAUUUCAAGGCUUGGCAUUCCUAAUUGAGCCAUUGUUAGUUUGGCUUCUCUACUUUAUCUGUUGUGUAUGUGUGUGUGUGAGUGUGUGUGUGUGUGUGUGUGUGAGUGAGUGUGUGUGUGUGUGUGUGUGUUUAUAGCCAAAUAAACCAAAUAUACCAAAGGACCUGUCCCUACCUAUAGUUCAGAUUUCUAUCCCUGAGAACUUAGAAAGAAUAUGUAUAUUUUAUUUUUACAUAUUCCAUUUGAGAAAUUUUGCUGCAGAAAUUCUAGGAAAUUAAUAAUAAUUGCAAGGGUAACUAAACUUACUUUCAUUUAGUAUUCAUUUAUCAUUGAUACUUCUUGCCUCCAGACCCCCAAAACCUUUCCAUGUUGAUUGUUAAAAUUCCUUUUCUGUAACUGCAUAUCAUUCUUUCUACAUUAACAAUUCACAUUUACAGCUCCAACUUUCUGCCUCAGAUACAGGCAGCCACUGUCGGGCUUUUUGCUGUACACACAAAAUACAGAUAAAACAGAGAAGUCAAAUUAAGAGUGGCUCGAUUAAGAAUGCCAAGACCUGAAAUGGAAUCAGCCGAGGAUCACCAAAUUCUGUAAUCUCGUGGAAGCAGUUGGUGACCUUUGAAGAGCCUUUUCAGGCAACUGGGUAUAGAAGAGCCCACACCAUAAAAAGGCAAACACAGAGUUGGAAUGGAGGAACUGAAGGAUGCAGGUGUAAGAUGCCCUUUCAGGGAAAUUGGCAGGGAAAAGAAAAGCAGUAAAAAAUGCAGUUGCAAAUGUUUCCUGGGUCUCUCUCUAAAGUGGAAAAGAAAAUGUUAGCAUGAAAGACAGGUUUGUUGCAUGGAGAUAAUAGUAGAGAUCCGCCAGGAUUCUAGAUUUAAGGCAAAAUCAUACAUGGCAUAAGCAAAGCUAUUUACAUAAAGGUCCUAAGAACAACAGAGACAAAAAAGAACAUAAUGACCCAAACUUGAUGCCAUUUCUUACUAGGGAGAAUGUAGGACAAGGAAGACCUGAAAACUGGCAUAAUGCAUCUUAUAAUUACUUUCACUUCAGCAUCCUUUAUGGAAAAUCUUUAUAUCCCUUAUUAACUAAUAAAUAGUUUACUACCAAGACUCCAUUCCUGCCUACAAAAUAGCAUUAAAUGAGUAUUUCCACAUGUCAUUUUUUUAUGCAAAGUUAUAUAUAAUUUUGUACGGUCUUUUGUUCAUAACUUCAUUCUCAACUUUAAAACUGUCAAUUAUAUUACCCCAGUGGGGGAAUGAAAAAGUUAUUUUCAUGAAGUUAUUUUCUAUAAAAGGAAAAGGUAACGUUCUUUUAUGUCAGGUUCUGUGUUAAAUAUUUAAAUACAUCUCAUUUUCUUUUAAAAUAAUAUGGAGAUGUGUGUUUGUGUAUGUGUGUGUGUCUGUGUGUGUGCCUGUGUAUGUGUGUAUGUGUGUAUGUGUGUGUGUGUGUGCCUGUGUAUCUGUGUCUGUGUGUCUGUGUGUCUCUGUAUCUAUAUAUCACUGGUGAACCUGAGGCUAAAGAUAAUCACUUUUCUAAAGUCACAGGAAGAAGCGCCAGAAGUCACAAAACUUCCUCUACCUAGCAUCUCAAAGAUUAAUCUCUGCACUACUGAUGAGAGAGAGGAGAGAGAGAGGGAGAGAGAGAGAGAGAGAGAGAGAGAGAGAGAGAGAGAGAGAGAGAGAGAGAGAGAGAGAUUGUCCAACACCAAAAUACAAUACUUAUGCUUGGCUGUGGCUCCCAGGUUUCAUUGUCUGUUAAAACAUAUCAUUUACUCAAAAGCCCAUAACUCUACAAACCCUCAACUCUGCCGGUUACUUACUUUGAUGGUUUAGCCAAAAUCCUCUAGUCACACAACUGACAAUUUCUUAGUUCAUUGAUACUUUUAAAUAAUAACUAAAAGUUUUAUAUCAGUAAAACAAUCAUUAGAAGAGACACUGUGAGAAGUCAAAUCUCCAAUUUCCCUGUUCCUGCUGUCCUUUCCAGAGAGGUUCUCCACAGUAAAAAUGCUCUUUUAAAUAAAUAUUGAUGUGCCCAUUUGGAAACCAAUAAAAUCAAAUGCCUUCCAGGGUGAUGGCAAUAAAGACGAAGUAUGUAUUGUUCAAGGUGGCCUUAACAGCUGUCACUGGGCUGAGUCAGAUUUUAUAAGCACUUUAAAUCAUAUUACUCAACAAUUAUUGUUAGCAUAGACAUUGGUAUCUGCAAUUAUCUAAUGCUUUAAAUUAUCUAAAAUCAAUAUGUUAGUACUAAAAGCUUAGACACAUUACUUUAAAAUGGCUCACAUGAACUCAUUUGACACUAUGUUAAUUAGAGUGUCCUAGUUAGCCUAUAUUUAUACCUUGUAAACCAGGUUAAUUUAAAAGUUUAUGGCACAGGCUUCUAUCAGAUUAUAAAGUGCAAAGACAUUACCGUUAUGGGGAAAAUGGAUAUUGUCAUGGGUAAGAAAAUAGCAUAGGCUGCCUCAUGGUUGCUAUGGGUGCACCUAAUAUUGUUUGUCCCUUCCAAUCUGACCUUCUUUCAAUUUUUGAAGGCAAAAACAGUAACUACUUUUGUUCAUUGAUAUAGAUAACACCAUUACUCGUCUAUGUGCCAAUCUCAUCCCUUCCUCUCUAUUCAUUGCUGCAAGGAAGCUGUGAGUUGCAUAUUUAUUAUAUAAUGUUUCAUAUAUGGUUUUUCAUAAUAUUGUUUAGAAGGUUUGUAAUGGCAGGAAGAGAAAAAAAUUUGGAAUUAUGGUCUUAUCAAGGGACUAAUCUGUUUAGUGAUUAAAGGGUAUUAACAAAGAGCAUUAAUCCAUUGGCCAAGAAAAAUGUAUGCAAAUACAAACCUUAAUAAUCAUGAUAAUGUAAAGGGAACAGAGUAUUAAAUGCCCAAAUCCUAAUAAGCAUGUAGUACCUGAAAGAUCAAGUGAUAAUGGAUUCAUCUGUUGCAGGUGUGGACCUCCCUUUGUGAUCAGUAGGGAUUCUUGGUUUCCUCAAUGACAGCUGACCUGUAGAGAAUAUUUAAAUGGAUGUGUAAAGCAUGUCUGGACUGGAAGGACACUGAGAGGUUAUCUUGCCUAUCUCUGCUUUCCAGCAAGGCCAUACUUAAAUCAUCCAAACAACUUGGUCACAAUGUUAUUAGAGCUUGUCAGGAAGAAUAUUUCUUUGCCCUCCUUAUUUGACCAUAUAAUAUGUAACAACUCUUAUUGGUCAAUUCUUCAUUUUUAUUCUUCCAUUCACUCUCUUUACAGCUAUUUGGUUUUAAAAGUCUUCCCUACUUAUUUCUUUCUACAGAAGACCUAGAAUCUAUGUGUGACCCUUUGGUCUUUCAAGGGGAUAAGGUAUCUGCUAAAAUUAGGACUUGAAAAUUCUUUGUCAAAUGUCUAACCAUAUUUCAUUGUAUGUAUGUAUAAAUGCUCAAAAGUAAAGAAAAAGAAAUUAGGAACAGUUUUGUCUGAAAUCGACACAUGUCACACUCUGUUUGUUUUAAAUGUUUGCAUCUGCUGCAGAUCCUUCUGGAAACACAGAAAAGAUCACACAUCUGUCAAAAGUUCCUUUCCUGUGUAAUGAAUUGUCAUUCGAUAUAACAAUAAAGGACCCACUUUCGUGUCAUAAGCUUAUUUUUUUUCUCCUUUCAUACCCCAUGUGUAAAUGGGCAAAACUCCAUUUCUGAAACUUAUCUUAGUCAUCUUUCUCAGUCAUGUUUACUGUAAGACUGUUCAGUAUAUUUUUGAGGGAGGAAAAUGACUUCCAAUAUAACCUUGCCUCCCAUGUGAUAAAAUAUAAAAUCCUUAUCCUCAGUCCAGUUAGUGAGCACUGAUAUCUAAUAUAAGUAUGCUGGUUACUAAGCCGGACACAGUCCUAUGCUGGUUGGUUUUUAUUGCGUGAGUUCUAGUGGCUGGAAUCAGAAGGGGCUAGAACUUUCAGAAAGCCUAUCUCUAGUGACUUAUUUUCCUCAGUCAGGCUCAACUUCCUGACAACUUCACAGCAUACCAAAAUGGCGCCACCAUUUGGGACUAAGUAUUCAAACACAGGAGCAUGAUGGCAAACAUUUCAAGGAAAAACCCUCCACCCUUGUCCUCUGUUCUCAAGUCUCCUAUUCUAGAACCUGUUACCUUCCUUUUAGUGAGUAAGCUUUAUUAAUAUUUCCUAGGGAGAAAAAAAAAAACGGUCAGUGAAUUCUCUGCACAUCUGUCUACCUAACACAUGCCCUGUAACAAAGAAUUGUCUUAUACCCACCAUCCGCUCUCCUCCUGUUAACUCAGUACAUGGUCUGUGUCUAGAUGGCUGUUCUGUGUAUAGAUGGUUGUUCUGUGUUUAGAUGGUUGUUCUGUUUAUAGAUGGUUGUUCUGUGUACAGAUGGUUGCUCUGUGAAUAGACAGUUCCUCCACACGUGUUCUCAUUCAGCCCUGCAGGAUAAAUCAUGUCUGACUUGUGGCAACUCUGAUCUAUAUUGGUUCUGUCCUGUCAAUGUUGAAUCACUUUCAUGUCGUAUUUAUUUUAAGAUGACAAACAUACAGCUCUUCAGCUGCCUGUCUCCAGUUCUUCCUUGCUGUCAUUCCCUGACAGUGAGCCGUUGACCUGAUUAAUUAAACUUGCU
rnacentral:lncRNA from 1 species